UACGUAGGGUGCAAGCGUUGUCCGGAAUUAUUGGGCGUAAAGAGCUCGUAGGCGGUCUGUCGCGUCUGCUGUGAAAACUCGGGGCUUAACCCCGGGCCUGCAGUGGGUACGGGCAGACUAGAGUGCGGUAGGGGAGACUGGAAUUCCUGGUGUAGCGGUGAAAUGCGCAGAUAUCAGGAGGAACACCGGUGGCGAAGGCGGGUCGCUGGGCCGAUACUGACGCUGAGGAGCGAAAGCGUGGGGAGCGAACAGG
rnacentral:rRNA from 1 species